GAAGAAAUAGGAGUAUUUUGUCCUUCAAGGUUAAAUGAUCCCACAAGUAUCACCAUCACCUUGCCAAAUAUUCACUCUCGUGUCAGUGUUUAUACCUUUGUUCGGUUGAAAAUGUUAAAUUGUGUAUGAGUGGUCCUUUAUCCUCUAUACUCCAUGUAUGUUUUGGUUCCCAUUUUGUUUUUUCACAACGUUUUGCAACAGAGGGACAUGAUAUGCAUGUCUUCGUUGGGUGAGGCUUUUGUUUUGUUUUGAGUGUCUACUUUUCACCAAAUACCUCCCCUAAAGUUUCGGGCAAGUCAUGCCACUGGAGGAGCAACGACACCUGCAACAUUCUUUGACAACAGUCUUGCCUAUGUAGUUUCCAGAGCACCUGAACAUGACAGAGGAGAGCAUCCACAGAAUAGGAAGGAGAAAUCUGGCCUCAGGUUCCACUCAUCUCUCCUCUCUCUGAGUUCUGGUGAACUCAAACACAAUCCAUCACCGCAGAGUAACAGCGAGCAAAGAAGAGAAGUGACAAGUGGGAGAAGCGUGAUGAUGAUAGUCCCAGAAACUGAACUCGUGAUGAAUGCUAGCCUCUCUCUCCAAGCUGCUCAGUACUAUAUGGCUAAAUCAACACUGAGUCAAGU